rnacentral:rRNA from 1 species
AUUGAACGCUGGCGGCAUGCCUUACACAUGCAAGUCGAACGGCAGCACGGGUGCUUGCACCUGGUGGCGAGUGGCGAACGGGUGAGUAAUACAUCGGAACGUACCUUAUCGUGGGGGAUAACGCAGCGAAAGCUGUGCUAAUACCGCAUACGCCCUGAGGGGGAAAGCGGGGGAUCGAAAGACCUCGCGCGAUUAGAGCGGCCGAUGCCUGAUUAGCUUGUUGGUGGGGUAAAAGCCCACCAAGGCGACGAUCAGUAGCUGGUCUGAGAGGACGAUGAGCCACACUGGGACUUGGACACGGCCCAGACUCCUACGGGAGGCAGCAGUGGGGAAUUUUGGACAAUGGGGGCAACCCUGAUCCAGCAAUGCCGCGUGAGUGAAGAAGGCCUUCGGGUUGUAAAGCUCUUUUGUCAGGGAAGAAACACCGGCUCUAACACAGUCCGGGAAUGACGGUACCUGAAGAAUAAGCACCGGCUAACUACGUGCCAGCCGCCGCCGUAA